rnacentral:rRNA from 1 species
CUCUCUGCUCUCGAUCUAGAGAACACAGCCACCACCUCGCCUGUCGGCCAUGCCCUCGCCGACCACCACCUCUCCUGCCGGCUCCGGCCUCGCCGGCCAGCACAUCGACCGCCCGCCGUCCUCGGGCCUUCCCUCUUGGCCUCCAGGUCCAGCGGCCCCGUUCCCCUUGGCCCUCGCCGACCGCCGGCCUGGCGCCAUCACCACGGUCAACCUCCACGCCCCGUUCCCCGUCGCCCCAGCCGGCCGCC